rnacentral:misc_RNA from 1 species
GUAUUGUAUUGCGUUAAACGCGACAUGCAUUCCAUAAGACUUUGUUACAGCGUGUGUGUAAAGAUGCAGAACCACAGAAGGGAGGCAGAGCCCCCCAGACCGUAGAACUACAGAGGGUGCACAGGUGUGAGUGGAUGUGUAAACAGAGCGUGCACGUGUCCCCUUUCGAGGACCAGCAACAACUCGUGUCAACGACUCAGUAAUGAUCCUUCCGCAGGUUCACCUACGGAAA